ACAAUGGAUGGAAGACAGGGUGCGCCCGAUCGGCGCUGAAAAGGGAAGUCCGGUGCAAUUCCGGCGCGGUCCCGCCACUGUGAUGGGGAGCCGAUCCGCAGCGGUCAUUGGGCAUGUUGCCUGAGAAGACGCGGAAAGGUGAAGAUCCUCAGCCAGGAGACCUGCCCUGUCCGACAACCGGCC
rnacentral:ncRNA from 2 species